rnacentral:tRNA from 2 species
GCGGCCAUGGUGGAAUAGGUAGACACAAGGGACUUAAAAUCCCUCGGCAGAUAAUGCCGUCCCGGUUCGACUCCGGGUGGCCGCACCA